UGCAAUCUAUGAUGCAAGUGCUAUCAUUUCUGAUCACCCUGUGAUUACUGUUUUUAUUAUCACCAUCUUUCAACUGAAGUUGCA